rnacentral:rRNA from 1 species
AUUGAACGCUGGCGGCAUGCCUUACACAUGCAAGUCGAACGGCAGCACGGGAGCAAUCCUGGUGGCGAGUGGCGAACGGGUGAGUAAUAUAUCGGAACGUGCCCAGUAGUGGGGGAUAACUGCCCGAAAGAGACGCUAAUACAGCAUACGACAUGAGGGAGGAAGGGGGGGAUCGCAAGACCUCUCGCUAUUGGAGCGGCCGAUAUCAGAUUAGCUAGUUGGUGGGGGAAAGGCCUACCAAGGCAACGAUCUGUAGUUGGUCUGAGAGGACGGCCAGCCACACUGGGACCGGGACACGGCCCAGACUCCUACGGGAGGCAGCAGUGGGGAAUUUUGGACAAUGGGCGCAAGCCUGAUCCAGCAAUGCCGCGUGCAGGAAGAAGGCCUUCGGGUUGUAAGCUGCUUUUGUCAGGGAAGAAAUCCUCUAGGUUAAUACCCUUGGGGGGAUGACGGUACCUGAAGAAUAAGCACCGGCUAAUUACGUGCCAGCCGCCGUCGUAAUAC